ensembl:lncRNA
GUAAGGCUAUAAAGACAGGCUCAUUCUUCAGGAUACAGGGCUCCUCUAACAGGAUGACAAGAUUUCUUUUGAGAUGAAGGACAUUUAAAGGUGUCAUCAAUACUCAACAGUGGGAAAUAUUUUAAGAACAACCACCAACACCACUACCCUGGAGACACUUUUCUAUCAUCCUACAUGGGCCACCACAAAAAUAAAUCAAACAAGUAAAAGAAAGAAAAAUAAAGACACAGACCAAUUAAGAAGACUGGUUUAUUUUUUAGGAGAAUUCACACGGAAGCUUGAUUUUUCCAUGAACAAAUCAAUCAACCAAAUGUGUUGGAGACAUUGUCAUGUUCACCACACAGACCGUAAAUGACAACCCCAAGGAUAUUGGAAGAGCCACGUGAAAUCUUUGAGGAGCUUUGAUUUGCAAUACGCCAGCUUGCAUCUUGUCCUUGACAAUACAGUAAAAAAUAAGCAAUUGAUGUUAUAGAUUACAUUUCAUGGUGCUGGGAGUGCUGGCUGCUGAUGUGCAUACAGCUGAGGACUUCCUAGGACUUACCCUCAGCCAAAAGAAGCUGAGACAGAAGCUGGCAUCCAAUGAUGCUGUUUCCCUGAGCAUGCCCCAGACAGCUUCCUGUAUGCAAAUGUCCAUCCCAGAGUCUGUUCUCCUGGGAACCUGAUCUACAGCAGUUGGUGCCAGGAAUGCACUAUGAAAGAAGAAUCUAAAAUGGGAAAUUUGGAACCUAAUAACCACUGGCCUAAUGACAAAAUGCACCUUCACUGGUAAUCAGCGGAGUAUAGAUAGCACCUGGUGUGCCACAGCCGAGCGGUAGCUGAAACUCUCCAGUGGUGAACUGGGAUGAGCUACUGAAAUGGUUCUCAAUGGUGUGUUAUUACCUCUUGCUCAAUCCCUAGGAUAUUUGACAAAGUUGGGAGAUAAUUUUGCUAGUUAUGACCGGGGGUAGGGUAGGAGGAGGGAGUGGUGCUUUUGUCAUCUAGUGGAUGAUGUUAAAUAUUCUACAAUGCAGCCCCUCUCCCCCAACAAAGAAUUAUCCUGUCCAAAAUGUCAAUAAUGUCAAGGAUGAAAAACCAUGCAUUUGCUGGCAAAAUAUUUCAGGUGUUUGAGAGGUCGGGGGAUAUUAGUAAGUAUAAGAACAAUAGACCGAGAUGUUACUUACUGCGAAAGUUUGAGGAUGACUAAUCAUCAAUUUAAGGCAAAGUGUGAGAGUCAAGAACCCCUUGGCAGCAUAUAAAGAAAGUCACAUCUCCUGCAGUAAACCUUGGCAUCAGGCCCAGGGCUUAAUUAUAAGGUAGUUGAACUCCAGAGUAGUUUGAAUUCUCAACCUAAACAAGUCUGCUCUGUCAAUUUUAGAGCCAAGAUCAGGAGAAGUGGAACCUCAGGCUUGGGAUGUGACAUUUGGGUUGACUCACUUGAAAGCCUUGAAGCCCAGAUUCCCCCACCUCUCUUGGCCUGCAUAUGACCUCUCUUAUGGCACUCUGCCUGCUUUCCCCACUCACUCGAAGAUGAUACAGAACACUGCCUUAUAAGACAACAUGUGCUCCCCUUAGGAUUUACUCCUCCCUCCCUUCCUGACAACCAGAUCAAUGACUAAAAUUGAGUAAUGACAAAACCCAGCCAAUAAAGUACUGAGUUUGCUAGAGGAGAAAAGGGACUACAUGUGGAAGAAGUUGCAGUACCUAGACAACUUGAACAGAAUUGUAUAUGUGGGACUUGAUCCUGAUGAUGCUGGAUCAAGGGGGACAGACUAUAAAUUUGGAUAAGUGAGAGAUAUUAAUAUCAAUGUACUCUUCUGUAACACAGGAUAUAAUAUUUGAAAAGGCCCUUAGGAGAUGGUGCUAAUCCACUGCUAGGCUGGCUCUAGGAAGCUUGGAAAAUGGAGACUGUCAUUAAGUGAAGCAGAAAUGCCAGAAUUGCCAUAGUAGGUGGUGGAUGAAGGGAUCAAAAGGCCCAGAGAAGUGGGAGGGCCACAGUGGAUAUGUUCCACUCUACGAGGCUACUGUUAUUGUAGGAUUCUACUGCCCCCAGUGCUAUCAGGGAGCCCAGGUCUGUAACAACUUCUCCUAUCAUCAGUCCUGGCCUAGAUAGGACUACCACCACUGAUAGAUUCUCUGCAAUGCUGGUGCCCCUCCUACCUUAUUGCUUAACAAACAGUGUCUUCCGGGCUGGUGGAUUUUCUGAAUUUAAGUGUCAGCUCGAAGCCCAUGUUCAUUCUUCUACAUCGAACUGCUUCUUAAAUAACAACACCAACAACAAAAUAAUAAGAAACCAGAUAAAACAAACAAACAAAAAACCUCAGCAAGUUCCUCAUCCUAUGCCAUCAUCCUAUAACCCUGAGGCAGUCAUGCCACUUAGAAGACCGGAAAACCCAUCGCGAGUUGACCCAGGCUGCCUUUUCAUUGUCGUAUCAUCGGAGAAACCUGCUCCUGUACUUUCUCUCUUGAGGGUGAAAAAAAAAUCUCCCCUUGUCUUCACAUUCUUUCACAGCUACUUCUAUUUGUCUAUGCCCAUAUUCCUGGGUGCUCUCCUGGCCUACUCUGCCUAACUUUUAAGAUUAGAGGAGAGAAAGCAUUUCAAGACAUUAAUCUCCUAUACAUUUCAAGAUGUUAAUCUCUAGAAAUUUCAUAUUAGGAAAUAUCUUUAAUCCCAGUCUACUGAUAGAAUCUACUGUAAGUUGAACUUUGGUAAACUUUAUAAAAAGGUUUCAGCACUAUAGCUGGCUUUUCAUUGAGAAAUACUUACUCAUACUUUAACUUUCACUGUCUUUGUAAGGUUUUGAAUUCCAGUUUUGUACUUUCAUUAUAGAUCUCCCUAUCUCUAUGGUUUUCUAAAGGAGUUUCUUACAGUUUUUAGAAAAUGUUUUUAUUUCAUAUGGCUUUAUUGAAAUUUGGGAUGGCAUCUCCUGGCAAGGCCACCUAGCACCCACUUCCAUUUUUCUCUGAAGCCAGCCAAAAAUGAAUAGAAUUCACACAUUUCACUCAAGUAAACAUAUUUCGGCCAGAAAAUAUUUUGCAUGUUGGCUUACCAUUAGAUUUAGGUGUAAGAUGUGUUUUAUCUGAUUUCAUAUUCCUUUCAGUAGAGCUUCACAGCUUUCUGAAACAAAAUGCUCUGAAUCUUGAUGUUGAGCUCUGGUCGAGAGAUUCUAUGCAGCAAAGCAGAAGGAAACCACAUGCUUGCUACAUCUCGUUGAAUGGAAUAUAUUUCAUUACUUUGUACAUUAUGUUCUCCAGAUGAGAGGGAAAAGCUAUAAGAACAUUCAAAUAUUCAAUAAAACUGGGGAGAGCGAGUAACUCAUCAAUGUGUCCCCAACAAUACUGCCCCACCAAAUAAAGUCCAAAAAGUAGAUGAAAACAAGAAAAUAUUAUGAAAUACUACAUUCUGUGGAAAUGAGCUGAAAAGGAAAAAUGACUAUUUGAAUAUAUAACACAAUGAAACAAUAAGAUUGUGAACCAAGCUAUAUUGAGAGGAUAUUUGAAAGCC